UUCACUCUGGAAUAGUGAUGAACAGACACCUGCCCGUCACAAUCAGUCACAAUCAGUCACAAUCAGUUGCAGUCAGUCACUUCCAUAUUAUUGGACCUUCUCACAGUCACUCUCAACACCUCAGCCAAUCACCUCUCACACCUGGAAUCCACCCCUGUUCCUUUGUUUGAAGCCCAUCAGCUUCAUUCAGUCACAGACAGUCACUGAACAGCAGGAUCACCCCACAGCACUCAUCUCUGGAAACCAUUCACUUUUUACAAGCCUGGAAACCUGGAAAUCACAGCAUCAAAGAGGACGCCUGCAACUGCCUUUGGAUUUCUGGAUGUCACCCACCUGAACCCACAUUGUGCUGAACAUUGAAUAUUGGUUAGGCUUGAACUGAUGGCGAGCUACCCUGGACCAAACUGGACAACCGUCUGACAUGUUUCACCCCUUCACCCACCCCACUCAUUGGCAGGUCUAAAGCCCCACAGCUUCAUCCCUUCCAGAAUGGUGUGGUAAAAAGUCUAUCACAGGAGAGACCAACUCUAAGUACGUGGAUGGACAUAACAGUGGACAUUUACAGGAUGGAGACGAUAACAUCACAUGUCAACCAUAAAGUGGAAGGGGUUCGGGCCUGCUCCAGGGUCGUGUUCCGGUUCAUCCAGGUCCGGUCCAGACCAGCUUUAACCUCCUCCAGCUGCUUCAGAGCUUUCUGGAUCUCUGUCUUUGAGCCGUGACCCGACCGGAUCAGACCCAGACCGAAG